GCCGGCGGCCGUUUUCUCCUCCCCGCCGCCAGCGCGUCCGUCCGCCGCCUCAGGAAGGGGCGCGGCGGGGGGGAGCCACGGUGGGGCUGCUGCGUGUCGGCCGCUGGCUCCUCUGGGCACGGUGCGGCCGGCUGCCUGCCUGCCUGUCUGCCUGCCUGCGUGGGGUUUUUUCUAGUGUGUGUGGGCGCGGGUCAGUUUUUUCGAACUCAUAAUUACAGAAGGCAUGCUGACAGUGGUGCCCGAGUGAGCUGGCCUCUUUGCUGGAGUAGAUGUACCCACAGUCAUGUGUCCCAGCCAGGCAUGGACCCCAGAGCACGGAGCUGUGAAGGCACUGGAGGUAGAUCCCAGGGAGCCAGAGGGUCGGGAUGUAGCCGAGCCUGAGAUGACCGUGGUGUGGGCAUCAACAGUAGCAGCUCCCAAGAGGAAAAAGUGAUCUCAUCAACAGGCAAAGGCACAUCAAGCCACUUUGCAAGACGACGCUCCAUGGAGCACGUUAAGGAGCUCUGCAGAACUCGAGGGUGGUACACACAGAGCGAGGCGCACUUCUGAACUGCUCUUGACUGCCCUGAGAUGUCCCACUGAAGCUGACAUUUAUGUUAAAUGACUUCAUGCUGAUCGCUCCUUUAAGGAAGAGAGGGUAACAAGAACUGAAGCAACUCCAACACCUGGGACUAGUUUAAGUAUGAAGAGGACUAUGUGUUCCAAGCAUUCAAAAUCCAUGAAACACAUCCUCAGAAAUGAUCCUUUAGAUCAAUACAGCCUUUCCCCUUUGGAAACAGCUGCACCCAUGUGGAACAUCUUCACCUUGGCACGAACUACCUGUCCUCCAGGGGAGUUCAGUGCUUCAUCCACGUGCAUCAAUUCUUACAACUGCCACGUGUGGAUGAAUCGCAGUGUCUCUCCAUCUUCUGGCUGCGUCAGUUCCUUGUGGGUCCAGACUCCAAGAUGCAAAGAACAAAGCAUAUUUCAGGCUGUCAGAGCUCUUUCAAAUGAUGGAGUAAGAAGAGAUGCAGCUCUUAGAGGAGCGUGCCUCCCAGAGAUUGCUCCUGGGUUUAUUCAUCUUCCCCCGAGCUUUGGAUGGAGGACAGGUUUCUUUUGUUCACAGUCUUUUGUGCUUCUGACUGCUGCAUGCUCCAGAGCAUUGUGUGGCUGGAAAGUUGAAAGUGAAUCAUAGAAGAGUUCAUACGCAGGAGAGAGGAGGAGAUAUCUUCUCACUGGCUACGGUGACUGAAAUGGGCCAGCGCCACAGGGAAGGUUUUUAGCGAUCCUUGGCUCCCAGGAGAGAAUAAGACUCUUCCAGUGGUGUUUGUGAGGCUUAAAAAGGACCAGUGUUUGGGAGAGAGGGAGCAGAGGUAGAAGACAUUGAGCCAAUGAAGCAGAGUGAAACUAAGAUCCAGAAAAAGAAUGAGAAUGAUUUUUUCUGGAGAUCACAGUGGUUUGUGAAGGGGCCGAUAAGAUGUCUGGUGAAGAGUAUGUCUGUAGAGAGAAUCCACUUCUCUGUAUCCAAGCUGGUGCAAUAAAUAAUCUUUCGUGAUUCUGACAGAUGCUUACAGAGUAGCAGAAACGAAAGCUCACACUCUGGCUGUGAUUAAUACAUCAUUAGUUGUCAGACUAAGGAUUUUGGAAGUGGGUAAAUAAGCCCUAGGCCAGUUGAUUGUGUCUAAGAAAACUGCGGAGGAUUACAGGGUUGGGGGGAGCUGGGACUCAGCAUUUGUUUACCACAGGCAGUUACUAUGUUUUGUUCCUUGUCUGAAACCACUCUGUUCCCACAGCGGGAGAAGAGGAGGAGAAAUGGGCAUAUGAUUUCAGAAACAAAGCUCUGCCUCAAGCCUCUGCUAUUCUGAAAAAAUGACAAAAGACCCAGCUGACCACAGUCCAUGUUGCCCUGGCUUCCUUGUGGGAUACGUAGGAAGCUGGGCCCUGACUGCAGUCUGCUGCCCUUGUCCGGGACAUGAUGCAAAAUGUCUGCUGUGGAGAAAAACAGCUCUUGCUGUUUAGAUUCACAGAGUGACACAAAGCAAACCAGGCUCUGCAAGUCCGGCUUCUUUCGGGAACUGCUCAGUACCCGCAAGGGCCUCUGGUCUGCGCUGUGGAAGAGGCUGCUCAGAACCUCCCAGGGCCGCGCUCUGUGCCAUGGAAAUACGGAGCCAUGGUCGUCAGCUGAUGUAAAUUGGUGUAGCUCCAUUGAUGUCUAUCCAGUAUACACAAGCUGAAAAUACGGCUUAGAGUAAAUGAAUCAUGCUGCUGAAAUGCAGCCAGCUUUAAAACAUACCUGUCCCGUGGGGGUGCUGUGAAGUGAAAGUCGCUUCCACCCUUUUUGGCUGAUAAUUCACAAAUGAGCCACUAAUCUGGCAUGGCAUAAAGGCUGCAGUGUAAUGUAUGAGUCACUUUACCCACUCGAAAAUGUCACCAGUUGUGGAGAGAGACGCGGCAGCUGCUUAGUGGCGCGUAACCCAUGUGGUAGAGAUGGUCCUAUUAUUUAUAUAGCUCCAUAAAUGAACCUGGUGCUUUGCAAAAUAGCAGCUCUUCCUUGAGCAGUUUACAACGCCGUUUACUCCUAAGCGAGACAAGGGCAGCUGCUGGCUCGACCGCCACGAGCCCAUUGACGUUGCGAGGAAAGCUCCCAGCUGCUCCAAGGGCCGCAGGAGCGAGCCCUGUGAGGAGGAAAGCACGGUGUCACCGAGGCCACUGAUACCUGGCAGAGGAUGGGGAAGGAGAUGGGAGGGAGGAGGAAAAGAAAACUUGCCUCAUCUUGCAGCAGAAGACCUGAGGCACAGAGAUUAAGGGCUAGGCCUGAAACAGAUUUAGGCCAUGCCUACACGAAGAGAAGUACCCUGAGACAGGUUCCCUCAUGGGAGCCGGAGUCCACAUGGCUGAAUAGCUCUCCCAGGAAGGAUCUGCUUUGCCACAGGAGGAUGCUGCCCAGGACACUAAGAUUUCUGUUAGCUAGAGCUAAGAGAAGGGCGGCCUGCCCCAAGAAGCGCCCUCUCGCCGCACGCUGAAGCUGCGACCUGUCUGCCUGCACUGUGCUACCACUUCCACUGGGGCUACGCCAUGGGGCUGGGCAGCUGUGAACUGCGGCACGCAUGCUGAGUGGCUCUGCUCGUAGAGGAGACCCAGCGAAGGAGGUUAGAAGCAGAGGUAUCUUCUUGCUGUCCCUCGAGACCCUUUUACUAAGGUUUUGCUAUUUUGCUGCUACCCUGUAGCAGCAGAGAACUAGGUUUUUCUCCCCCCUCAUCUCCCAGAUUCCCGCAGGAUGCAUGUGAUUCCCCACCCAUUUCAUGCCUCCUGCUGCACACCCCAAUCGAAGCCCCGCUCCGGAGGCAGGGUGCCGGCGUCUGCAUGCUCUCGCUGCCACCCGUGUCCCUGAGCCAGCCGGGGAGCUGCCUCGCGCAGAGACGCGACUCCACCUUCCUCGCUCCCGAGCGCUCUCCGCUGCUGGCUCGGUUUCUCUCCCUGCUGCUUGUAGAAAGGACUCAUCACAGAUCUAACCUGAAUAAUCACUCCCAAGACGUCCUUUCCCAGUUUCUUUUUCAGUGACCCAGGUCACAACUCAUUUCUUAGCAUCUGGGCUUCAUUUCUGUGUAAGCUGGGAACCGAUAAAGGAAGGGAAAAGGUGAAGAUUCAGAGAGGCAGGCCAGCAUCAUGAGCAGAGCGUACACAGGGCACAUUCAACGUUGGACUAGCUGGCCUCAAGUGUAUGGGCAGUGGCAAAGCGAUUGCAUUAAAUGAAACAGAGGCUAUUUAUCCUAAAACGUUAAAAGGCACAAGACAGACAGACAGGAGCCGUUUCAUCCUCCCGGGAUUCCUUGUGUCCUGCCAGCAGCCUGGAUUGCUUUCCUGCCCUUAGCCCCUGUCUGCCCAGGGCUGGCCCUUGGCCACCAGCCCAGAGACAGCCUGGGGGGGAGGCCCGUGGGCAGCCGCCUAUGAAAGGAGGGGUAGCGCAUGAAACCCCAAAGCCUUUUCAGAGGUAUUUAGGUGCCUGAAGGUGCAAAGAGGCACUUAAUGUCAUUCAAAAGUUUCUAAGCAGAUUGGAGGGAGAGAGGGGGAAAAUUCCCGUUUAAGGGACUGAGGCUGAAGAGUCCCACCUGCCUUGAGGCCUUGGACGAGGUGGUGCCUUGGAGGUGCCCACCAGGCACCUCUCUUCAUGGCUAGGCACCUAAAUAUCUUAGAAAAUGUGCUCCAAAGUAAUUUCUCUGCUGUUGUGUGAUGCUCCUGCCUACCCAAGGUCAAGAGUGUCAUCUUGGCAGUGUUCCCUCUUGACGUGUGAAAACUGCUGCUCUACCACUAUGGUGUGAGAGAUGUAUGGAUCUCAGGGAAGACAAAUUGCUCCUCCAGCUGCAUGUCUCUGGCAGACAUUGAUUUGCAAUAAGGCUGUCAACGGCAGCGGGAGAGCGCUGAUCCUGAGAAACAAUAUGCCAAUUGCCUGCGUUGAUUUUAAUUCUUUGCUCCUUUGUGUGAGACCUGUUCUGCUGCAGUAUUCCUUGGAGAUGGGAUGUGCUGCUGCCUCUCCACUGACGCUCUUCUAGAGUACGAUGCCUGUCUGGCCCAGAAAAAAAUCAAGAAGACAGGCUGGCUUGCAUGAUUAUUUGAAAGCUGCGCAGACCUGUUGGCAGAGGAAGAAAAACCUAUUGAGGUGAAGGAAGCUCUCCGAGGUUUAUGACAGCAAGAAGGAGCUCUGAAUGUGGGGCCAGGACAGUACCAGACAGAAGGAGAGAAUCUGAGUCUCAGUGGCUCAUAUUACACGUGUCAGCUGCAAAGAGGAAAUAUUUGAAGACUGUUCGGUGGUAGGAGGGGAAAAACACGGCAAAACCUUUGAGUAGACGCCUCAGAGCCUGCAGGAUAAGGUGUCAUUGCACACCUGCAGCAUGCCGGGAUGCUAAAAUCCACCCUCAGCUCUGUCUGUUUCAGGAUGGAUGUGGGAUGGAUGACAAAGCCCUCAUGGAAGGAGCCUUUCUGGCCAGCACUUGUCACUACAGGACUCUUCCACCUUUAAUACGCAUGCGUUAACAUCUCCCGGCCUAUACAGGAAGGCAAAGGAGUAUCCUUUGCCAUCUGGAUGUGCUGGAGCAGAUAUUGGGGCCGCUGCACUGUGUGUGGCCAGUCCCAUGCCCUACUUUUAAGGAGUGCCAUGUGACAAAUCACAGUGCCUUGCUGUUUGCCGGGCACUGGGAAACUGCCUUGAACACAAGCCUGGGGAAAGUGGAAACAAAACUAUUUACAGAAUCCAGCUAUGAUUCAAAAUCGAUAGUAUUGUUGCAACAGCCAGCGUGGAAGAACAUCUCUGGGAGAACGUCUUCUGGGAGAAGUCUCUGUCGAUGGAGUUAGUCAGCGUCUUGCUGGCAAGGGUUUGCCCUCUCAACUAGAAGUUGCUAAAGGAAAAGUCCUGUGAACAGAGAGGUGCCCUUCACCAGCCUGAGAAUGUCCACUCGCGUCCUGGCUACUUGGAGAAGAAAAUCACAUGCAAAUGCACAGCAGAAUUGGUUCAGCGAUUGUUCCUUCCCUGACAAAAUGAUUUUUCGCCUACUGGAAGGGGAACUGUGUUGGAAAUCACAAAACAUGGAGUGCUUGCUCUGCAGAGCGCCAACUCACGGAAGUGCCUCAGAAGAGGUUCCCCAGCCAGCGAGGCCUGCUGAACCACACCAGCCCUCCAGUUACGCCAUCCUUUCUCCCAUCUGCGACACAGCUGGGCCUGACACACCAUUCCUAGUACUCCCUGGGUUUUGCUGCCUUGCAACAAAGCCACGAGCCACUAGUUCGGCUGGAUUGCUGUCACCUUUGGUCUGCCAGAGUGGUGUGAAGAAGAAAAGCAGGAGCCAGAGACGAAAUCCAUACUACUGUCAUUUGUGCUGGGCAUCUUACCAGUAUCAGGAAAGGACCUGAAACUUCUAGACCUCAGACUUUUUAUCUGAGCUUCGAGCUCAUCGACGUCUUAGAUUUGGGAGAAGACUGGAUGGUCGGUGUGUGAUACACAUCUGCUGCCUGCAGAGACUCUCAGGAGAACAGUUGUAGCAUAACUGUGUCAGCGCAGGGAUCAUGGUUUCUGCACAAGCUGCAAUGCCACAGCAUGCGAGGGACGGCUGCUGCGGCACAGGGGCCGAGCUCGGUGUGUUGUGUUGAGAGGUGCUACCUGACAACCGGUAGGGCCGCCUGUUUUCUCUGCAAGGCGGUGGGAGGGAUGAACUGGGACUGCCUUCUCCCAUUAACAGCCAAUGAUUGCACCCUUGCCCCUCUCCAUUACCUGAAUCUGAGAUUUUCGCAGCCCGUGGGCCCCUGUCUAAUUGUGUGGCCUGCCUAUUUGGGAGCUGCUCUAUUAAAACUUGCACAGAUGGUCUGGCACUGAGGCGUCAGUGGAAGCAGGGUUUGCUUUCAAGUAACUGUCAGCUGUGAUAGUGGUGCCAAACCCCUGCAGACAGUGCUGUGUAUCAGCACAGCCCCUGAUCCCAGUGAGAGGUCUGGUUCCGCUUUGCCCGCUCUCCAUUGCCAAACCCUGUGACAGGGGAGGGCGAUCAGAAAGCUGUGCUGCAUGGUGAUCGGUAAGGGAAAAAUUUUAAAUUGAUAGCCCAGCAAGUGUCCUGAAUGCUAUAUUCAAAAUGUGAUGCCUCAACAUAAAACGAGCGGAGUACACAGCAGAACAAGUGGCCAGAAAACUCUGGCUCUUAGAGGCAUGCAGAGGGCAGGUGCCAGAUAGCAGUGAUUGCCCAUUUCUCUAAACCGGCAGCGCUUACAGGCCUACUGACAGAAGUGGAUUCCCACUAUAAGUAAAUUCAAUAUGCAUGAAAGGACUCUUGUUCUUCUUCAGCAGAGAGCAUAAAGAAAGACUGUCAGACAAACUAAUCUCUCCCUGAUAGUUUUCUUUUUGACAUCUCUGAACUGUCAUUUCUCCUGGGCUUUGCCAGAAUGCUUGAUAUAUCUGUUGUUUCCCAAAACAGAAAGUUUUUGCUAGCUUGGGUGAUACAGAAAUUUUUGCCAGGAAGAAAGAGGCUGAGAUGCCUUCACCAGCCUUUUGUUGCUGUUGUGUAGGUGCUCCUUUGCUGAGCUCCGGAGCUCUGAUUAGAGGUGAAAGGGAGGCAUUUGUGGUGACCGAUAAGGUUACAUCUCUGAACGCAGCCAUCACAUUGUUCCCAGCGCUUGCCCUGGGUUGCAUGACAGUCACUGGGCUCCUGGAAUUAUGGCUUCUCUGGAGAGAAACCCAUUUAUGCCUUCACAUAUUUUGUUUCAAAAUUAGUGAUUGAAGAUGGACCUAGGCACCACUGUGUCACACAGGGGCAGUUAGAAAAUAGCCCAGACUGGAGAUUUACAUUUUUUGUUUGUCCCUCUACAGAGCUGGCAAAGCAUUCACUCCUCCUGAGAGUGUGCAAACAGCCAAGAAGAUUCCUAAGACUCUUCAGAGAAAAAAAAUUCUUCAUGUCCCUUCCCUAAACUGUGGAUGAAAAAUCCAGCAACUUAUUCCUUGAGUUGGGGACUUAUUGAAGGGUCUGCCAUAGGGAUGGUAAGGCUGUAUGUCCUACACCAGGUCCUGCAGAGGGAUUUAUCAAAAAUCAGAUUCUGAAGAGGGGCAAAGCCCAGGCGCUGCCAUGACCUGCCUGGCAGAAUGAGCCCUAAGUCCCAUUUUAAUGAACUCAACGGCUUUUUUCCUAACCAUGCUUCAACUACCCAGUCCCUAAAUUAUGCUGGAUAUUAGUACCACUGGAGAACUUAAGGUCACUACCUUAGGUGUUUAAUGUACCUCUUUCCAACAGACAAAAUGUUGUCUGGGGUAGCCGGUGAGUCUGUCCAGGUCUGCAAGAACUGAAGAGUGGUGCCCACCUUCUCUGGCUUGGGUGGUCUGCUCUCUGCAUAAGUAAAAGCACCACUGCUUGAAUUAGUUAACAUUUGUACUUUUUUUUUCAUGGUGCUGGGGCUGCCAACAGUAGGUAGAGUUUUGGGUUGUAAAGGAAUGCUGUUUUAUUUAUUGGAAGUGUUUAAUGACUGAUCACCAGAUGGAUUUCAGUCCGCACCCCUGCCGGAGUAUAUGGACCAGAAUGCUCUCUUCACCGUAGCGCCAGGACCACGGGGGAGAGGUGUACCUUUUCUGUGUGGGAUGAUGCAGAGUCUGUGGAGCACCUAGUAAGUAAACUUGCACCAUUUUAUAUUGAUGAAGAGUGUUCUUGCAUGCAGGAUUUUGCAAUUAACUGUCCCUGCAUUUUCUGACUUUGUGACUUUAAUAUACACGAUUUGAAAAAUUGAUGAGGAGAUUAGAAUGCAACUCUGAGCUGUUGGUCAUGUGUAGCCACACGGUAUUGCUCGAUGACAAUUUAAGGUGAUGUACUUGGUUAAAAGUAACUUGGAACACUAUUUAAAUACACAGGUGUUAAUCUGGACAUACUGAAGCUCAGUUUCUGAAUCUGGAGUUACAUAACUUGGGUGUGAUUAUUUUGUUUCAUUUCCAGAUUAGCUAGAAACAUUUAUCUAAACUGGGUGGCUGCUGAGAUUUUAAAUGCUAGAGCAGGAAACUUUGCAGUCAGGUUGUCAACAGAAUGAAUUGCUUGUCCUUUCAAGACUGAUUCUCUUCCAUACCAUCUCGCACCUCCCCAAGACCCACCACCAAAGCCUGCAAACACUAGAAUUUCUUUUCAUAUUUGAAUGGGUCCAUGGGACUCAUUUUCAGUACCUAAAAUUUUGCUAACUGUAAGACUGCUACAGGACUAAGGCCACACUACAUAUGCAUGUUCUGACUCUGCACUUCAAAAUUUUUUUCAUCAAGCACUAAUGUCUUGUGUGACAUUUGGGAUUUUGGUCUUACAAGUUGUUAGCUACGAAUUUCCUCUUAGUCUAGUAGGAAAUUCAGGUUUGCAUAACAGAUUGUCUUAUCACAUCUGCAAGGUAAUUGCUUUAAAUAGGCUUCCAAGAGGGCCUCAGAUCUGAUCUAUGAUGGUCUGUGCAUUUUUAAUAUAUGUACUCCAGGGAAGCAUGCCUCUGUUAGGAAUAUACUAUGUGGAUGACUGAUGGUGCAGAUCCAAAGUUAACUAGGCGUUCUCUUUAAAGACAACAUAUGAUAUGAUGUUUGGGCAAAGAGGAAUUUCCUGCAUAAUCUUUGGAGACAGCUGUAUUAUAUUUUAUGAUUCCUCUGGUAUUCAUGUGGAGUUAUAGAAAUACAGUUAAAAGGAUUAACUUUUUUCUGGUACAGUAUUCUGAUUGAUUGCAUGUCCAGUUACUCCUUUUCUAAUAAACAGGAUCUCGGCAAAAAGAAUGCCUGGACUGAAUGUACGACCUUCACUCCCUGCCCUCUCCACCUGUGAACCUAUAAUUUCCUUAGAUGCCUCCAUGAGGCAUCUACUGCUGGUUAAUCAGAGGUUUGACCUGCUGGCGAUGAUGAGCUCUAGCUUUGUAUCAAACAGAAGAGAGAGCGGCUGGCUGCAGCGUGUGGGUCUCCACCAGCAACGCCCUGUCUUUCGUCUCAGCUCUGCAGCCUGAACUCCUGUGUUAGAGCUUCUGCAUUUCAGGAAUGUGACUCCUGUCCUUGACCUAGGCUGCAGAUAAAUACAACGUGCCCCUUACCGCCGAGUGGCUUAGGAAGAAUUUCAGCCAGACGAGAGGGCUAAGAUAAAGGAAAGGCAGAAGAGCAGGUCUUUGACACAGUACAUAAAAUGACGAAUCAUUUCAUUUAUAAUCAUGAGAAGUGUUCUGGGAGUCAUGUGAGAGUUGUUUAUUCAGCUAUUGACCCUAAAAGGGACAGAAAAUGUCUGUCUCAGUUUGAGGAAAAUAAAAUCUUGGCCAAAGAUACGUCUUAGGAAUUAGCCCGGACGCUACAGGGUAUUCAGAAGAUAAAUCAGAGAGAAGCUUACAGCUGAACUCCUGCUAAUAUAUACAGAAUAAAGACAACUUUUCAA